AGCAGCCGCGGUAAUUCCAGCUCCAGUAGCGUAUAUUAAAGUUGUUGCAGUUAAAAAGCUCGUAGUUGAAUUUCGAGAUCAAAUUGUUGGUCGUGCCUCGGUACGUACUGGCAUUAUUGAUUUCUCCCUUCUGAAGAACCUUGAUGUCAUUAAUUUGGUGUCUUGGGGAAUCAGGACCGUUACUUUGAAAAAAUUAGAGUGUUUAAAGCAGGCUCACGCUUGAAUACAUUAGCAUGGAAUAAUGAAAUAGGACGUUUGAUUCUAUUUUGUUGGUUUCUAGGAUUGACGUAAUGAUUAAUAGGGAUAGUUGGGGGCAUUAGUAUUCAAUUGUCAGAGGUGAAAUUCUUGGAUUUAUUGAAGACUAACUACUGCGAAAGCAUUUGCCAAGGAUGUUUUCAUUAAUCAAGAACGAAAGUUAGGGGAUCGAAGACGAUCAGAUACCGUCGUAGUCUUAACCAUAAACUAUGCCGACUAGGGAUC
rnacentral:rRNA from 1 species